rnacentral:rRNA from 1 species
UGCCAGCCGCCGCGGUAAUACGAAGGGGGCUAGCGUUGUUCGGAAUUACUGGGCGUAAAGCGCACGUAGGCGGACUGGAAAGUAUGGGGUGAAAUCCCAGGGCUCAACCCUGGAACUGCCUCAUAAACUAUCAGUCUAGAGUUCGAGAGAGGUGAGUGGAAUUCCAAGUGUAGAGGUGAAAUUCGUAGAUAUUUGGAGGAACACCAGUGGCGAAGGCGGCUCACUGGCUCGAUACUGACGCUCAUGUGCGAAAGUGUGGGUAGCGAACAGGAUUAGAUA